UACAGAGGUGGCAAGCGUUGUUCGGAAUUACUGGGCGUAAAGGGCGCGUAGGCGGCCUUCUAAGUCAGACGUGAAAUCCCCCGGCUUAACCUGGGAACUGCGUCUGAUACUGGGAGGCUAGAGUAUGGGAGAGGGAUGUAGAAUUCCAGGUGUAGCGGUGAAAUGCGUAGAUAUCUGGAGGAAUACCGGUGGCGAAGGCGGCAUCCUGGACCGGUAUUGACGCUGAGGCGCGAAAGCCAGGGGAGCAAACGGG
rnacentral:rRNA from 1 species